rnacentral:rRNA from 1 species
GAUGAACGCUGGCGGCGUGCCUAAUACAUGCAAGUCGAGCGAACAGACGAGGAGCUUGCUCCUCUGACGUUAGCGGCGGACGGGUGAGUAACACGUGGAUAACCUACCUAUAAGACUGGGAUAACUUCGGGAAACCGGAGCUAAUACCGGAUAAUAUAUUGAGCCGCAUGGUUCAAUAGUGAAAGACGGUUUUGCUGUCACUUUUAGAUGGAUCCGCGCCGCAUUAGCUAGUUGGUAAGGUAACGGCUUACCAAGGCAACGAUGCGUAGCCGACCUGAGAGGGUGAUCGGCCACACUGGAACUGAGACACGGUCCAGACUCCUACGGGAGGCAGCAGUAGGGAAGCUUCCGCAAUGGGCGAAAGCCUGACGGAGCAACGCCGCGUGAGUGAUGAAGGUCUUCGGAUCGUAAAACUCUGUUAUUAGGGAAGAACAAAUGUGUAAGUAACUAUGCACGUCUUGACGGUACCUAAUCAGAAAGCCACGGCUAACUACGUG